AACGGAAAGAAAAGAAAGGAAAAUAUAUGGGUGAAGGAAGGGAGGAUUUCCCCCCCUGGAAAGAUGCAUGCUUGAUAUGGAUCUUUUGUUUGCCCUGUGAACUCAGUGAAUACAGUGGCAAACAGAUGCUGCAGUUUGCGAGGCUUGUGCACUUGAAGGGAAUUGGGUUAGAGGCUCUUUUUGGGGCUUUGGUGUCGCAGCUGGAGCUCUUGCUCCCUGCCUCCUUCCCUUCCCUUCCCUGUUCAAGGCUGAGUGGCUUUAUGGGACCUGCCAGCUCGCAUCAGAGAGACUGGGGAGUAUUCAUGCAGGCACCUGGGGAUGUUCUGAGGAGUCUAUGAAAAAAGUCGGUGAAAAGCUGUUUUUGAAAUCCCACCUUCGACACUGAGCAAUUAGUCAAUCUUAUCCUAGACAGCUGUACAGGGAGAUAGAAUUUGGUCCAAGAGGAGUCUACCAUUUAUUAAGAGAUCAACAAUCAUAUGGAUCUACUACACCUGCUCGUUGUAGUCUGCAUGUAUACACAGAUGGGUGUGUGUUGCCUCCCCCUAGCAUUCAACAGCGCUGACUCAGAGCAUCUCAGCAUCUGGAAGACAGGGGCACAGAAGGAACAAAAUCCUCUGUUUACUUAAACGAUCCGCUCUGGUGCUUCCGCCACCCUUGACAAAGGAGGGACAGAAAUUGCAGCUUGUGCAAAUCACAGAGUCGAACACAUAAACGCAAAUCAGUGUGUUUUUUAAGACAAUACAUCACUUGAAACAACUUACAACCGGCCAGGUUGUGAUUGCAGACAUGGCUACUCUACAAAGCAAAUAAUUUAUUUGGAAAGCUCUACAUGUCAUAAGAACAUCUGGCCAGCAACUAAAGGGAAGGAGGAGAAAGCUGAUCAAAAGAGCAAAGAGAAACAGAGAAGGCAACAGAGCAGCAGAUCUGAGAGAAAGACGGCAGAGAGAAUGAACACAGAUGCUUACAGAAUCCUUUAUUUUCUGCUUAAAUUUAACAUUUAUUUGAGAUAUAUGUAGAACCUGCUUUGUCUAAACAGGAAUAUCUUUAUUUCAGACUUGUAGCAAUGCCAAGAUCAUCACUUUUAGAUGUGCCAUGUGGAAAAUCAAAGACCUUGUAUUCUUACAAGCAAAAGCUAAAAAAGUGAACUUCCACAGUACAUACAGAUGUAUAAGCUGUCUACGUGCACAUACACAAAGGAAUGAGAAUGAUGUUAAUAAUUAAAGAUGAGAAUUUAAUGGCUAUUCAUCCUCUUAAAUUACACCUAGAAAUAAAGCUACAUUUAACAAUUCUAUUGUGACUAUUUUAAAAUGACCUUAUGGUGCUUUGUGUGGAGGGAGCGUUUCACACAUCCAUAAAAUAUACCUAGCACUGAGGAUGACCAUGGAUAUUUAAAAACAAGGUAUCUGGAGAGAGAGCAAAGUUUAACAUAAACUGAUGCACAAGUGAAAAUGAAGAAGAGGUUUAAUUUCUUGGAUCUGGUGUCUACAUGUGUGGAUGCAUCUACCAAGAGAACCUUUAGCGAUGAAUGUGAUGUGAGAAAAAGACCUUACUCCUACACUGUCCGACAUGAAAUGUAAGCUUAUUGUGUCAACUCAUCAUUCAUCAAGUUGGCUGUAAAGGUAGCUAAUGUAACACUGUCCUGUAUGCAAGGGAAAUUAGAUCACAAAAGUGAUCUUUCGUUGCAAAUAGUGGUUGAGAACGUUUGACCCAACAAUAUUGUGCUAGACCUAGACUUUGAAGGAAGGAGUAUUUACAAAUUCCAUAUUUCCUUCUACAUACUCUCAGAAGGGAAGAAAAUAAUGGACUGAUUACUAUUUGGUUGCCAUAAAAAUGAAACUAAUAGCUACAAUGUAUUUUCCAUUACUUUAUCAAUGAAUUAGAAUGAACACUUGUUUCAGCAGCUUUUACCCUCCAUAAUUAAUUUUACUGCAUUACAAAAAAACAUCAUGUUGCUUCUUUCAUACUUCAAAUUCUCUACCCAUUUUUUUAUAUACAGAAGACACUCUUCUCCUUUUCACUUCUAUUUUCUUCAAAAGUCUAUUAGCACUGAUUAAAAAGAAAGAGUUGGAAUAAUAAUCUUCAGUUAGGUUUACUAUAGAGUACAUCUUUUGGUCUUUGUCAUGUCAUCCAACACUUGAAAAUUUUGUGCAAGAUGCUCAAAAAUAGUGAUUUUUAGUGAUUUUAGUUUCUAGAUUCACAGUCAUAAAGUCUGUGCUUCAGAAUUAGAAUGUAAAUUUGUGAGGAGAAAUAAAUAAUCAGAUGCUAUGAUAGCACCCUGAAUAUGGAGGCAUUUGAAACUCUCUGAUGUAAAACCUGGCCAAACUGAGGUUCUAGUCUAAAUGAUUUCUUUAAAACAUCACAGUGUAAGAUUUUGAAGAGAAAGACAUCAAGUUUAAAGUUGUUUUAUUGGCUUGACAUAAAAGUUUAAAAUGAAGUACCUAUUUUUUAGUAGUGAACUACCUAACCAGGAAAAACACUGCUAAAAGCCAAAAUUGCUACAUUAAUGGAGACGGUGUAAGAGGCAGCAUAUAUGCACUUGCAAGAGCUCUUUCCUGUGGAAGGUAAACUGCAUCUGCCAGCUUGAAUGCUUCAGUGGAAGAUGUAUGUUUAUCCUAAGCCACUGAGGGAGGAAAGUACAAGCUAAACCAAGUUAUCUGAUGAAUAUAUGAUCCCAACUCACAAACGUAUACAAAUUGGAUCCUUAUUCUGAAUCCCAAAGUGACCACACUUUGCAUGACCAUACUUGUCAUAUAGCUGGUUUCUUCAGAUGUACUCUGGCCUGAUUAAUCGUACUAAACUUUGGGCACUUAAAGGAGAAGCCCAAGAGUGUGCUCACCUUUGGCUUCCUUUAUAGUCUACAGAAAAAGCCAGAUUUCUCCCCUAGUAUUUCCAGUUGCUCUCACCUAAGAGCUCUUUUUGAAUACACAAGUAUAGCUGACUACUGUCAACCUUAGCAUGUCCUUCCAUAACUGAAUGAGAAGUCUCCAAGUCUCUCUUGUUCACAAAUCCUGCUUCCUCAAGCACAUUUGAGCAACAGGUUCAGGCUUGGCAAUCAUGUCCUGUUUCAGAAAGUGCUGUGCUGUGCUACGUACACUUCUUUCUAACACUGGUCCCUGCCUUUGGGACAGCCAUCUUGGACUGUCUGGCACAAAGCAUGGUCAGUGCUCACAGUCUUGUGAGAUCCCUUCCACAUUCAGCUGCAUGCAGCUCUUCAGUGCUAGCAAAACCUUCAGCAAAACCUGCGCUCUGAUCUUUACAAGUGCCAAGAAAUCUGUUAAAGCACUUACAUAUUGCAACAUUAAAUGCUUGGUAAAUCUCCACAUCAUUUUGGUGUUCUCAAAUCCACAUAAUUUAUAUCUUCUGCAAGGCCAUAUCCUGCAAAAUUUGCUGAGUGCACUUAACUCUAAAUUAGCACCCUGUAAAAGAAGUUCCUCCCUUCUUCUCACAUGCUAUUAUAUGUAAAAUCUCCACCCAAAGUUAAUUUCUUGCUGACCUUAUGCUGAUUAAUGCAAAUUAAAUUACAUGCUAAUUGCCCCAAAUGGUUUGCGUGCAGCCCAGAAAUCAGAUCUUUUUGCUGGUGGUAAAACACAUUUGUGAUUUUUACACAAUGGCUGUAUUAAGUUAUUGUUAGUCUUGCAGCAUCUUCUA